UUAAUAAACCAUUAACGAAGAUAACGAAUUGGUAUGAUCGUUAAUCAUGUCGUUUUCCGCUUAAUUAUAAAAGAUAUUUGAUUCGAAUUGGUUGAUGAACGUUUAACGAGUACAGUUAAUCGACCGAUAAAUAACAAGAAACGAACAAAAGGAAACCUACGUAUUCACAAGCCAGUUUGGGAUACACUAUAUUGUUAUUUCCUUCUUAGAACUAAAUCGAGUUUACUAUAAUGAUUGCAUUUAUGAAGCUGACUUUAGUAAACGUCACACAGAAAUGUAUGUGCAGGUGCCAAGGAGCUGGUUUAAAUUUAGCAAUAUCGCGUGCAACCAAUACAUUGUCGCAGGAUUAAUUGAUUUGACCUGAGGAAAAAAUCAUCCAUACGUUAUCAGUAAAAUAUCAAACGCACAUUUAUAAAUAUUAAACAUGUCAUUAGAAUUUUCUACAAACAAUAUAUUAAUUUUUAUAGAAAAAUAUAUUCUUAUUCAAUCAUCGCUAUCAGAUAAGAUUUCAAAGGAUGAAGAAUCCUCUUUGUGCGAAUGAAACCGAAGAUUUGUACCGUGCUUUAUCUUUAUCCGCACUAUUGUUUCAAUACAAUUAACAAUAUGAAUAGCACAACGUUUUACUAAAUCUCGAAACGAUAAUAGUAAUCAUUUGCCAAUUAUUAAUUACAAUACAAAUUUAACAACGUGAGAAAUUUUUAAUAAUAAAAAAUUGUGUUAUAUUUGAAUUGACAUACUCUUAUACUUUAAUAAUAUUAUUCGAAAUGAAAGAUUUAUUUCCUGAUUGUCGUGAAUCAUCAAUGAUUCAUAAAAUACAUUUAAUCCAUCUUUUUUUAUGGAUAAAUUGUAACUGAAAUUACAACGAUGAAAAAUUAAUACGAUAUAAAAAAGGUUAAAGGAUUUGUGAUUCUCAGGAUCUCCCAAGGACGAUUACGCACUGAAUGACACGGUCCGCGUUACGUCACUGAUAAGAUGUCGCACAUGUUUCGUGACACGAAUGCGUAUGACGAAACAUCGUGGGAGGAAAAGCGUCAAACGAUGAAAAGAAAAAAAGUAGUGGAAAGGAGAUCAUAAAAAAUAUAAAGAAAAUUCUUUCUCUCCUUUUGGAAAAAAUGGAAUAAAAAAAUGAAGAGUAUCGGAGAGAAUCGAAGCAAAAUAUACUGAUAAAAAAAAAAAAAAGAAAGAAAAAAAGGAUAAUACGAAAAAGAAAAUAUACAAAUAUUUAUUAUAAUAAUAUUUAAUUUUAAACAUUCGCAUGAAAAAAAUUAAAAUAAA